GGAGGUGUGGCCCAGUGGUAGAGCACUUGCCUACCGUGCACAAGGCCCUGGGUUUGAUCCCAGCACCACAU
rnacentral:tRNA from 1 species